ensembl:Mt_tRNA
CAAGAUGUAGCUUAAACAAAGCAUCUAGUUUACACCUAGAAGAUUCCACAACUCGUGCACAUCUUGA